rnacentral:rRNA from 1 species
AUUGAACGCUGGCGGCAGGCCUAACACAUGCAAGUCGAGCGGAUGAGAGGAGCUUGCUCUUUGAUUCAGCGGCGGACGGGUGAGUAAUGCCUAGGAAUCUGCCUGGUAGUGGGGGACAACGUUUCGAAAGGAACGCUAAUACCGCAUACGUCCUACGGGAGAAAGUGGGGGAUCUUCGGACCUCACGCUAUCAGAUGAGCCUAGGUCGGAUUAGCUAGUUGGUGAGGUAAUGGCUCACCAAGGCGACGAUCCGUAACUGGUCUGAGAGGAUGAUCAGUCAAACUGGAACUGAGACACGGUCCCGACUGCUGCGGGAGGCAGCAGUGGGUAAUAUUGGACAAUGGGCGCAAGCCUAAUCCAGCUAUGCCGCGUGUGUGAAGAUGGUCUUCGGAUUGUAACGCACUUUAAGUUGGGAGGAAGGGCAGUAACUUAAUACGUUGCUGUUUUGACGUUACCGACAGAAUAAGCACCGUCUAACUCCAUGCCAGCCGCCGCCGUAAAAC